UACGAAGGGGGCUAGCGUUGCUCGGAAUCACUGGGCUUAAAGGGCGCGUAGGCGGGCUAUCGAGUCCGGGGUGAAAUCCUCCAGCUCAACUGGAGAACGGCCUCGGAUACUGAUGGUCUCGAGGGAGGUAGGGGCACGCGGAACUGUGGGUGGAGCGGUGAAAUGCGUUGAUAUCCAUAGGAACUCCGGUGGCGAAGGCGGCGUGCUGGACCUCUUCUGACGCUGAGGCGCGAAAGCCAGGGGAGCAAACGGG
rnacentral:rRNA from 1 species